UUUUUUUUUUUUUUUUUUUUUUUUUUUAAUAUAGCAUUGAAGUAAUGAUCAUCAAAAAUAAAUAAAUGUAAAUAUAUGUUGUAGACCAAAAUGUUCAAUGUGUUCAUUUAUGUUUAUAGGAUUUUCUAGAUGUAGUCAUGUACAAUGUGGCAUCAAGACCAUUAAAAGAUCUGAAAAAAACAACAACAUUUGUUGUUCUUAUUGUUUAUUGCAGUUUCAUUUUCCUAAUGCCAACUCUUCAAUUCAAAGCCUGUAUUUUAAAGAUCCUUCUUAUGUCAUCAUCUACUUUUCUGUUAGGUCUUUAGUACUCUCUUGGCAGGUGGUGAAGAGUUACCUCCAUAUAAGUCUCCAUUGUGAAUAAGUUCAUUUAUGACCUAAAUUUGACUUCUUGUCACACUUUGUUACCAAACUGCUGUAAAAAAAAAUCAAAGUGUCUUUUCCAAUGCUUCAGAUUGAGCCAUAUCAUCAAGCUGUCAAUGUUUUUGUUACAGUAAUGAACAUUUAGUAAUAAGUCUCUUGACUUGUUUGUGUAGAUUUUCAAAGCAAUGUUAUUAGAUUUUGUUUGUUUUUCCGUUGGCCUAUUAAUGAAGACAUUGGACACUGAGAAAAACU